rnacentral:lncRNA from 1 species
GUGCUUUGCUCUUCUCAUUACAACCUGAAUCACCGGGCACUUGGUAGAGAAAGCUCACCCCUCAGACAUACGCAUCCACUGCAGAUGAGAAACUAGCAUUUUCUUUACCCUUGUGUUUGUUUUUCUGUCAGCCAACAAUAGGGGGAGAAAAGAAGAUUAUUGAGAUUAGAUGAUUUUUUUCUUACAUAUUUAUUAUCCUGUUCUGUCCCAAUCAUCUCAAUAUUCAAAAAGUAGACUUGGAGGCUAGCAUAAAGAAAAGAACAGCCAAGCUUCUGAGGGCUGUUGAAUUUUUAAUCCUCUAACAUUUUUCUCCCCCUUCUCUAUUUGUUGUCUAUUUUCAAAGCCCUAAAGUAAAGAGAUUGUCUAAACCCCAUUCUUUGGCAGCCAUUCAAAAAGCUACGUCUUGUAACAUGACUGGGGAAAACCAGGAGUUAAUUUUUAGACAAAAAUUUAGGAGUCAGUAAUGAUGUUUUUAAAAACCUCAAUGUUUAGCAUUGAGGUGAGAUAUUUAAGUAAUAAAACUGAUGGCUCAGUGAUCAGAGCAUCAACAGCUCUCUGCCGGCAAAUCCUGGUGCUCUUUAUUGCUGUGGUCCUGUUCCAGCCCCAUAGCAGGAGAUUGCUAAUGAUCUGGGCUUGGGAUAUACACCUGUGUCCCUCCAGGGUCGUGGUUCUCUUCUUUUAAUCUGUUUCCUUCCCCAGCCUCAGAGUCUUCACCUGUGCUUUAGUGUGACAGGAUUUGCUGCUUUCCCUCAACUUGCUUAAGGCUCUUGCCCUCUGUAGGGGAGAAGGCUUUAGGAGGGGGUCUGUGUCGUGCCAGCAAAGACUGCCCCUGUGCCAUGACAGCUCCAUCAGGAAGCCUCCUCUCUUCUCAUCUGCUGCUCCCAAUCUUUCUCCUGAGCACCAGAAAUUACCUUGAGAAGAAGCCUGAAAAGGUGCAUGGUGUCCAGAAGCAUCUCCUCCAG